AACCGGCCACCUACCCGGGUUUCGCGGACCUUCCAAAACCGCAAACCGGAUCUUCAUCGAUAUGGCGGCAUCGCGGAGAAGACUUCGAUUCGAAGAAAGAACCUCGGCCGUCGGAUGAGUCCAUGUAUCUUUUCCGAUUUUGCCCCUAUAAUCGUUGUUAAAAUUACAGGGAACCAACACCGCCGGAAGUCUGGCCCCUUUGUCCUGAUUGCCCUGAUAACUACGAGCAUGGCAAGUUUAUGUUGCCCUUGGGCCAGCUUGUCCAGGAGGAGUCAUGGGAGGUUCGGAGGUUCCAUCUAUGGUACAUGCAUGCUGCGAAGUUAGGCAUGAGGGAAUUCGUUGUCAGGGCCUCAAAGGAGUACUUCCACUUGGAGGAUGAUUGUUAUUUCACUGUCGAUUUCCAUGACAUGCUUAGGCUGCUACGCCGCAAGGACCUCGACGUCGCGCAAGUCACCCUUUAUGCCAUGAUGCAAGCAUAUGCUUCCCAGGAACUAGGGGAAGAUAUUAUCUACCUAUCUCCUAUGCAUAUUACCCAAAGGGCCAUUAGUUGGUACGAUAUACCGGACACGCAGUCAAAGUUAGUGAAUUUGACCGGUCUGCAGUGAGUAGAGGUCCGAGUUAAAAUGUGAGGCGAGAUGAUGUAUAGAAAAGGACAAUACAUCUUAGAAGCCAUGAAGAAGGUUCAGGACAAUGGGUGUAUCCUUGCCGCGCACCAAUUCGGCGGGGGAAUCAUGGGCCACUGGGUUGUAUUUGUCAUCUAUCCUCAGGAUGGAAACGCUGUCAUAUUCGAUUCCUUGUGCCAUACGCACAAGGACGCGUAUAAGGAUUUUGAAGAAUGUCUGUGAUAUGCUUACAGGAAAUACGCGGAAGACCCCGAUUCCUAUGAUCGGAGGUCCAAGAAAAAGAAGCAGAAGAAUGGCACAAAAUUGCGCCUGAGACGAGAUUUUCCGUGCGCGAAGCAACCUGCAAAUUCAGUAUUAUGUGGAUACUAUGCUUGUGUAUACCUCAUGACUGCCGGAUGUUACAAUAGAAGCUGGCGACAGCUCAAGAAAUCUGUAGCAUGGUGGCGCAGGUCUAGUGUGGACAAGUAUGUCAUCAACCGAAUAAUAUCUGAUAUUUGUAAGUUUGUCACUGAUGAAUGUUGUCAUGUUGGGGGUCUCGCGUUCUGUGACGAGAGCGAUCCAGCAACGGACGACAAGUUCGUGAGGCUACGCAACUGGAGAACCCAACUUAACAUGAAGGACUACAAGUUGCCGGAGCUUGAUUAGAUGCCUUUAGCUUUUGUAAUCAUUUGAACGCUAGUGUCGAAUUGAUGUAAUAUAUAUUUGUGAAUGGAUGUAAUAUACUUGUUGAACAUGUACUAUGCAAAAUCGGAUUGGCACCUAAAUGGAUGUAAUAUGUGUUUUC